rfam:Triticum urartu cultivar G1812 contig1086986, whole genome shotgun sequence.
CAUGUACUUUCUUUGUCCGGAAAUACUUGUCAUCAAAAUGAAUAGAAAAAGAUAUAUCUAGAACUAAAAUAUAUCUAAAUACAUCCUCUUUUAUUUAUUUAGAUGGUAAAUAUUUCCGGACGGAGGGAGUACUAG